AGCAGUAGCCACGGUAAUACGGAGGGUGCAAGCGUUAUCCGGAUUUAUUGGGUUUAAAGGGUCCGUAGGCGGACUUAUAAGUCAGUGGUGAAAGCCUGUCGCUUAACGAUAGAACUGCCAUUGAUACUGUAAGUCUUGAGUAUAUUUGAGGUAGCUGGAAUAAGUAGUGUAGCGGUGAAAUGCAUAGAUAUUACUUAGAACACCAAUUGCGAAGGCAGGUUACCAAGAUAUAACUGACGCUGAGGGACGAAAGCGUGGGUAGCGAACAGGAUUAGAUACCCGCGUAGUCCCUGUCUCUUAUAC
rnacentral:rRNA from 1 species